UACGUAGGGUGCGAGCGUUAAUCGGAAUUACUGGGCGUAAAGGGUGCGCAGGCGGUUCUGUAAGUCAGAUGUGAAAUCCCCGGGCUUAACCUGGGAACUGCGUUUGAAACUACAGAGCUAGAGUGUGGCAGAGGGGGGUGGAAUUCCAUGUGUAGCAGUGAAAUGCGUAGAGAUGUGGAGGAAUACCGAUGGCGAAGGCAGCCCCUGGGUUAGUACUGACGCUCAUGCACGAAAGCGUGGGGAGCAAACAGGAUUAGAAACCCGGGUAGU
rnacentral:rRNA from 1 species